GAGGGUAUAGUGCAAGUAGUAGAGCAUAUGCCUAGCAUGUAUGAGGCCCUGGGUUCAAUCCCCAGUAUCUGCA
rnacentral:tRNA from 1 species